GCCCAAGCAGGGCUCAAACUUGUAAUCUUCCUGCUUCGGCCUCCCAGAUUGGUGGGACUACAGGUGUAUACCAGCAUGUCCAGCUUGCUCAACGCCUUCUGCCUCCUAUCCUCAGACACCAGCUCCUAUGGACAUAGCCUGGGCCUUGUCAUCACUAGAAGCUGUUCAACCUGUCAACUCACAUGCUAACCGAACCCUCUAAGGAAUAGAAGACUCCUUCUUAAAGCCGUCCAUCCUGGGAGGAAGUUCCUCCCUAGGCCUAGCUGCAGGAUCUCCUACUGUAAGAUCUGGGCUCCACUGAACGCAGCCUUUCAGCACCACUGGGUUGCCAGGCCCUUUUUCCGGUACGCACUAGACAACAAAUGUUUGCACAGUGAGUGUCCCACCCACAGCCCUGCCUGCCCCACACCAGAAUUAAAUGAGCUUAUACACUUAAAUUCUUUAAAGUGUCCCACAGCACCUGCUGAGUAAUCAGAAAUCAGUCACUGCCCCCUUAAAUAAAGUGAGCCUGUGGUCCCGCCCCUCCUAAUUGGCACACUCCCCUGACCUGCCUCACCAGCAGAUACCCAGGGAGGUCAAGGGGCGAGCCCAGUGAGGGCAGAAGGUCUUCCCAGAGAGGACUCUGGGUCUCCGGUAGAGAACUGCCAAUGGAGAAGGCCCCAAGGUCAGUGGGGGGGGGGCACAAUAGCUGGAGAAUAUGUGAAGCCAGCGACCCCCUCACCUCCCCAGCCCUAGACACCACAUUGGGGUGAGGGCUUUCUUCCCUUCCCCUAUCUUGCUUCAAAGAUGGCAAAAAUUUGAGUGCCAAAACCAGGACAGCUAUCACUUUAUUUAAUCUCUUUCUCAGCCCUUUGAUCCCCUUUUUGGAGGAUGAGAAACCCAAGGGUUACAGAGAUCAAUUUGCCCAUGAUCACUUGGCCCAGAGUUGGGCCCAAGGCUCACACUCCAAAGCCAAGGCUCUCUUCUACCCACUCUUCUACCUCUCCUAGGGGCGCGGGCAGGGCAGCUGUGAGCACUGAGUAAGUUCCAGCCCAGAGCGCCUGGGCUUGGUGAGAGGGCAGGCGGGGGAGAGAGCAGGGAGAAAGGCUGAUGCCGGGUCACAGACACCCCUGCCAUGAGCCUGCAGUUCACAUGGUGAAGUUAGGCCACGUGAGAAGCAAGGGGAAAGGGACUUCACCCUCUAGGGACAGCUGCUUCCAAAUCUAACAAAACCCCAGAGCAAGCCCUGGUGCUGGGCCUCCUGCCAGCGACUCUAGUCAGUCCCAGGGGGCGCUGGGUCAGCGUAUACAGCGGGAGGCACACAGAAGAGAGUGAAAGCUCUCUGGCUUCAGAAUCAGAAUGCCUGAAAACAGGGCCCCCUCCCAUCCCCACUUCACACGGGCUGGUGCAGUGCCCUCACAAUCGGGCUGCAGGACCUGUGCCCAGGGCCCUCAGCAUUUGCACACAUUUGCAUAAACAGCAGGCAGGUCCAGAUAAUGCCUCUUCCACAGAAGGUGAUAUCAGUGCAGGGCUGGGUGCUCCACGCUCCUCUGUGAAGGAUACCCAAGGGCACCAGGCAAGCCAGGAGAGGCCAGCUGAAUGGUCCAUUGAAGC